AUUGAACGCUGGCGGCAGGCCUAACACAUGCAAGUCGAACGGUAACAGGAAGAAGCUUGCUUCUUUGCUGACGAGUGGCGGACGGGUGUGUAAUGUCUGGGAAACUGCCUGAUGGAGGGGGAUAACUACUGGAAACGGUAGCUAAUACCGCAUAACUUCGCAAGACCAAAGAGGGGGACCUUCGGGCCUCUUUCCAUCGGCUUUGCCCAGAUGGGAUUAGCUAGUAGGUGGGGUAACGGCUCACCUAGGCGACGAUCCCUAGCUGGUCUGAGAGGAUGACCAGCCACACUGGAACUGAGACACGGUCCAGACUCCUACGGGAGGCAGCAGUGGGGAAUAUUGCACAAUGGGCGCAAGCCUGAUGCAGCCAUGCCGCGUGUAUGAAGAAGGCCUUCGGGUUGUAAAGUACUUUCAGCGGGGAGGAAGGGAGUAAAGUUAAUACCUUUGCUCAUUGACGGUACCCGCAGAAGAAGCACCGGCUAACUACGUG
rnacentral:rRNA from 1 species